AUUGAACGCUGGCGGCAUGCCUUACACAUGCAAGUCGAACGGUAACGCGGGGCAACCUGGCGACGAGUGGCGAACGGGUGAGUAAUGUAUCGGAACGUGCCCAGUUGUGGGGGAUAACUGCUCGAAAGAGCAGCUAAUACCGCAUACGACCUGAGGGUGAAAGCGGGGGAUCGCAAGACCUCGCGCAAUUGGAGCGGCCGAUAUCAGAUUAGGUAGUUGGUGGGGUAAAGGCCCACCAAGCCAACGAUCUGUAGCUGGUCUGAGAGGACGACCAGCCACACUGGGACUGAGACACGGCCCAGACUCCUACGGGAGGCAGCAGUGGGGAAUUUUGGACAAUGGACGCAAGUCUGAUCCAGCCAUGCCGCGUGCGGGAAGAAGGCCUUCGGGUUGUAAACCGCUUUUGUCAGGGAAGAAACGCUCUGGGUUAAUACCUCGGGGUAAUGACGGUACCUGAAGAAUAAGCACCGGCUAACUACGUGCCAGCAGCAGCCGCCGUAA
rnacentral:rRNA from 1 species